rnacentral:tRNA from 3 species
GGGCGCCGACGCCCGCGGCGGCGUGCCGGCGCUGCCGUCGCUGGCCUCGCUGCGGAUGGCCUGGUGACCGUCAUGUUCCGCUUCCCGGCGGCGCGCGCC